CACCCUCCUAGUGAAAUAGUGUUUCCUGAUAUCCAACCUAGACCUCCCCCACUGCAACUUGUGACCAUUGCUCCUUGUUCUGGCAUCUGCCACCACUGAGAACAGCCGAGCUCCAUCCCCUUUGGAACACCCCUUCAGAUAGUUGGUAAGGCUGCUAUCACAUCCU